GACGACCCGGGUCCGGUCGGGAGCGCGCUGUCGGUGUCCCAGUUCUCCUCUUCAAAGCCCUGGACCAUCAGUGACCCCCACACCCUCCAUGUGCAGGGAGAGGUGACCCCCCUGGAAGGGUGUCUGGGACAGAGGAGUUGAGUUUUGGGGGGCACACACAAAGGGUGCGAGGCGCGCAGCACCCCCUCACGGGCAGCCCGCCGCUUUGGAGGUCCAGGAUUGCGGAUUCCAGCCCCAAACACCUCCACCGCGCAGGAACGAGCAGACCAAAGUUCCCGCACAACGCUUUCGGAGGCGCGCAGACAUGUCGGGACCUCCGCCGGGCGCUGCGCACCCCUCCGCGCAACAUCCGCCUCCCGUAAACCCGAGCCCGCCCGCUCCGCACCCCUUCCGCAUCUCUCCGCGCCGGCCGUCCCGCAGGGAAAACCGCCCCCCCCCAACGCCUUUUCUGGGGCUGAGAGCGGAGCAGGGCCCGGUGCGGACGCAACAGCGG